UACAGAGGUCCCAAGCGUUGUUCGGAUUCACUGGGCGUAAAGGGUGCGUAGGUGGCUUGGUAAGUUUGAUGUGAAAUCUCCGGGCUUAACCCGGAAAUGGCAUUGAAUACUAUUGAGCUGGAGGUUUGGAGGGGGGACUGGAAUUCUCGGUGUAGCAGUGGAAUGCGUAGAUAUCGAGAGGAACACCAGUGGCGAAGGCGAGUCCCUGGACAACACCUGACACUGAGGCACGAAAGCUAGGGGAGCAAACAGG
rnacentral:rRNA from 1 species